GAGCAUCCUCAGUGUUCAGAGAUGGAGUUGGCAUUAGUCUGGCCAUUUCUAGGGCAAAGAGGCUGC
rnacentral:miRNA from 1 species